CCUAAACCAUAAGAGCUUGCUGGAUAGGAGGUUGAUUGGUAGGUUUCAACCUCAUUUAAUUUCUAUUACUUUAGUCAACAGGUGUAUCUUCUGGGAAAAUCUAGUUGACACAAAUGCUGAAAUCAUUUAGCCUGUCACUAAGUAACUUUCUUGCCAUCUGACAGACAUGGGUGGGUCGAUAUUAUAGAGGACUCACACCCAUCCCACAAAUCAACUUUCCAGAGAAAGGG